AGAUCAUAUUUGUGACGGAAUUAAAUCCCCUCAAUUCUGAUUAUAUGUAUGGAAAACAAGGCCUGAUAAAUGGCUUAGUACCAAAAGCAUUCUUGGAACUUUUGGAAGAAUAAUUUUCUUGUGGUAUGGCAUCGGAGUAUAUUGUUUCGAUGUUUUGAUAUCAUUUUGCCUCCUAACAUUCAAUUAAAUCUGUUCGCAAAUAUUUAUUCUAUUCCUUUAGAAAUUUAAUUGUAAUAAAUACUCUCUUUGCUUCAGGUUCAGAUAUUCUUAAAAUACGCAUAGUUAAGCAGGGGGAUUACAGAUUGACAGUUGAGCUGCAUGAUAUAUACUGAAUGAAUAGUUCUGCAGCUUGCCGUAUAUGAUAUUGUAGGGGCAAACUGCGGCGCUAGUGUGCUUGUGUUUCAAUCUACAAACCCCCUGUAGUUAAGAUAUUCAUUAGAUGACUACUAUGUAUAAAAUCGUAUUGUUGAUUUUUAAAUAACGAUACAAAUAAAACAGCCAUGAAAUGUUUAGAAAAAUUCA